CCAUUGUGGUGAAGUGGAUGAUCCUAUGCUGUCGAGAAAAGCCUCUAGCGAGUUUCAUGGCGGCCCGUACCCUAAACCGACUCAGGUGGUCAGGUAGAGAAUACCGAGGCGUUCGGGUGAACUAUGGUUAAGGAACUCGGCAAAAUGCCCCCGUAACUUCGGGAGAAGGGGGGCCAUCACCGGUGAUCCGUUUUACACGGUGAGCUGGGGGUGGCCGCAGAGACCAGCGAGAAGCGACUGUUUACUAAAAACACAGGUCCGUGCGAAGCCGUAAGGCGAUGUAUACGGACUGACGCCUCCCCGGUGCUGGAACGUUAAGGGGACCGGUUAGUCACAAUUCGUUGUGGCGAAGCUGAGAACUUAAGCGCCAGUAAACGGCGGUGGUAACUAUAACCAUCCUAAGGUAGCGAAAUUCCUUGUCGGGUAAGUUCCGACCUGCACGAAUGGCGUAACGACUUCUCGACUGUCUCAACCAUAGGCCCGGUGAAAUUGCACUACGAGUAAAGAUGCUCGUUUCGCGCAGCAGGACGGAAAGACCCCGGGACCUUUACUACAGUUUGAUAUUGGUGUUCGGUUCGGCUUGUGUAGGAUAGCUGGGAGACUGUGAACUCUGGACGCCAGUUCAGGGGGAGUCGUCGUUGAAAUACCAGUCUGGUCGUGCUGGAUGUCUAACCUGGGUCCGUGAUCCGGAUCAGGGACAGUGUCUGAUGGGUAGUUUAACUGGGGCGGUUGCCUCCUAAAGAGUAACGGAGGCGCCCAAAGGUUCCCUCAGCCUGGUUGGCAAUCAGGUGUUGAGUGUAAGUGCACAAGGGAGCUUGACUGUGAGACCGACGGGUCGAGCAGGGACGAAAGUCGGGACUAGUGAUCCGGCGGUGGCUUGUGGAAGCGCCGUCGCUCAACGGAUAAAAGGUACCCCGGGGAUAACAGGCUGAUCUUCCCCAAGAGUCCAUAUCGACGGGAUGGUUUGGCACCUCGAUGUCGGCUCAUCGCAUCCUGGGGCUGGAGUCGGUCCCAAGGGUUGGGCUGUUCGCCCAUUAAAGCGGUACGCGAGCUGGGUUUAGAACGUCGUGAGACAGUUCGGUCCCUAUCCGCUGCGCGCGCAGGAACAUUGAGAAGGGCUGUCCCUAUUACGAGAGGACCGGGACGGACGAACCUCUGGUGUGCCAGUUGUUCUGCCAAGGGCAUGGCUGGUUGGCUACGUUCGGGAGGGAUAACCGCUGAAAGCAUCUAAGCGGGAAGCCUGCUUCGAGAUGAGUGUUCCCACCCACUAGAUGGGUUAAGGCUCCCAGUAGACGACUGGGUUGAUAGGCCGGAUCUGGAAGGCGGGUAACCGCUGGAGGUGACCGGUACUAAUAGGCCGAGGGCUUGUCCUC
rnacentral:rRNA from 1 species